rnacentral:rRNA from 1 species
UCCGGAAACGGGUGCUAAUACCGCGAUAGUUUUCUUGAUCGCAUGAUUGAGAAAGGAAAGACGGCCUUUGUGCUGUCGCUUAUGGAUGGACCCGCGGCGUAUUAGUUAGUUGGUGAGGUAACGGCUCACCAAGACGAUGAUACGUAGCCGACCUGAGAGGGUGAUCGGCCACAUUGGGACUGAGACACGGCCCAAACUCCUACGGGAGGCAGCAGUAGGGAAUCUUCCGCAAUGGACGAAAGUCUGACGGAGCAACGCCGCGUGAGUGAAGAAGGUUUUUUCCGGGAUCGUAAAACUCUGUUGUCAGAGAAGAACAAGUUGGAGAGUAACUGCUCCAGCCUUGACGGUAUCUGACCAGAAAGCCACGGCUAACUACGUGCCAGCAGCAGC